GAGGAAAGAGGGAGGCGUGCCUAAUACAUGCAAGUCGAGCGAACCGACCAGGAGCUUGCUCCCCUGACGUUAGCGGCCGACGGGUCCUUACCACGUGGUUAACCUACCUAUCCGACUGGGGUACCUUCGGGAAACCGUAGCUACUACCGGAUAAUAUAUUGAAUUGCAUGGUUCAAUAGUUAAAUACGGUUUUUCUUUCACUUAUAGCUUGCUCCGCCCCGCAUUAGCUAGUUGGGAAGGUAACGGCUUACCAACGCAACGAGGCGUAGCCGACCUGAGCGGGUGAUCGGACAGACUGGAAGAGAGACACGGUACAGACUCCUACGGGGGGAAGCAGUAGGGAAUCUUCCGCGAGGGGCGAGAGGCGGACGGAGCAACGCCGCGUGAGUGAUGAAGGUCUUAGGAUGGUAAAACGCUGUUGUUAGGGAAGAACAAAAGUGUAAGUAACUAGGCACGUCAUGACAGUACCUAGACAGAAAGCCACGGCUAACUACGUG
rnacentral:rRNA from 1 species